rnacentral:lncRNA from 1 species
AAGGGUUAUCUGGCUCUUUAAGUCUCUUCUAAAAUCCCAAGGCUCAACUAUGUACAUUUGAUGGAAACUAUCAAACUAAAGUAUGAUAGGGGCAAAGGGAAUUUCUGGUGGAGCAAUGUAAUUCAUCAAGAUCGGAAAGAACACCAACGGUGAAAGCAUUCUGAUGGGCCGAUAGUGAUACUAGGAAACAAAAACUAAGGGAGCGAAUGAGUUCAGAUACCCCAAUAGUCCUAACCAAAGUUC